GUCAGCCGGCGACGCACUCCUCCUCCCAGCGUCCCCGGCGGGAUUGGCAGCCCCUCCUCCUCCCAAGCUGCCAAUCGAGAUCAGCAACGCCCGCCGGACCUCCUCCCCCGGCGGGCGUUGCUU
rnacentral:sRNA from 1 species